GCUUGUGUUUGGGUAUUUGGCAAUUUGUGGGGUCAUUGGAGGGAUUUUUGGGUCUGUGGUGGUGCAUGGAGGAGACAAAUAUGGUGUUUUUACGAGAAUUGUUGUUGGUGGGUUUUUCGUGGGGGUGUUGGUGAUUGUAAAUCUGGUGGGUUUGUUGGUGCAGAGUGUUUUUUACUAUGUUUGCAAGAGCUAUCACCACCAAGGAAUCGAUAAGAGUGUUUUACAUGAUCAUCUUGGUGGCUACCUUGGAGAAUAUGUCCCUUUGAAAAGCAGCAUUCAGAUGGAGAACUUGGAUGACUAAGGGGCGCCAAAUGAUGAAGAAAUGGCAUCAUUU
rnacentral:misc_RNA from 1 species